rnacentral:misc_RNA from 1 species
UACGUAGGGCGCAAGCGGUAUCCGGAAUUAUUGGGCGUAAAGAGCUCGUAGGCGGUUCGUCGCGUCUGCCGGGAAAGUCCGGGGCUCAACCGCGGGUCUGCAGGGGGUACGGGCAGACUAGAGUGCAGUAGGGGAGACUGGAAUUCCUGGUGUAGCGGUGAAAUGCGCAGAUAUCAGGAGGAACACCGAUGGCGAAGGCAGGUCUCUGGGCUGUUACUGACGCUGAGGAGCGAAAGCAUGGGGAGCGAACAGG